AUACGUAGGGGGCGAGCGUUGUCCGGAAUGAUUGGGCGUAAAGGGCGCGUAGGCGGCCCGGUAAGUCUGGAGUGAAAGUCCUGUUUUUAAGAUGGGAAUUGCUUUGGAUACUGUCGGGCUUGCGUGCAGGAGCGGUAAGUGGAAUUCCCAGUGUAGCGGUGAAAUGCGUAGAGAUUGGGAGGAACACCAGUGGCGAAGGCGACUUACUGGACUGUAACUGACGCUGAGGCGCGAAAGUGUGGGGAGCAAACAGGAUUAGAUACCCUGGUAGUCCACACUGUAAACGAUGAAUGCUAGGUGUAAGAGGUAUCGACCCCUUUUGUGCCGGAGUCAACACAAUAAGCAUUCCGCCUGGGGAGUACGGCCGCAAGGUUGAAACUCAAAGGAAUUGGCGGGG
rnacentral:rRNA from 1 species